rnacentral:rRNA from 1 species
CCUACGGGAGGCAGCAGUGAGGAAUAUUGGUCAAUGGACGAGAGUCUGAACCAGCCAAGUAGCGUGAAGGAUGACUGCCCUAUGGGUUGUAAACUUCUUUUAUAUGGGAAUAAAACGUUCCACGUGUGGGAUUUUGUAUGUACCAUAUGAAUAAGGAUCGGCUAACUCCGUGCCAGCAGCCGCGGUAAUACGGAGGCUCCGAGCGUUAUCCGGAUUUAUUGGGUUUAAAGGGAGCGUAGGUGGAUUGUUAAGUCAGUUGUGAAAGUUUGCGGCUCAACCGUAAAAUUGCAGUUGAAACUGGCAGUCUUGAGUACAGUAGAGGUGGGCGGAAUUCGUGGUGUAGCGGUGAAAUGCUGAGAUAUCACGAAGAACUCCGAUUGCGAAGGCAGUUCACUGGACUGCAACUGACACUGAGGCUCGAAAGUGUGGGUAUCAAACAGGAUUAGAUACCCCUGUAGUC